rnacentral:rRNA from 1 species
UACGUAGGGUGCGAGCGUUAAUCGGAAUUACUGGGCGUAAAGCGUGCGCAGGCGGUUGUGCAAGACAGAUGUGAAAUCCCCGGGCUUAACCUGGGAACUGCAUUUGUGACUGCACGGCUGGAGUGCGGCAGAGGGGGAUGGAAUUCCGCGUGUAGCAGUGAAAUGCGUAGAUAUGCGGAGGAACACCGAUGGCGAAGGCAAUCCCCUGGGCCUGCACUGACGCUCAUGCACGAAAGCGUGGGGAGCGAAACAAGGAUUGAU